CCCCCACUGUACUGUGAAGCUCAGGGCAAGACUUUCUAAAAGUCUUCUGCCUACACCUGACAUGCUGUCCAGUGUGCACAGUUAUAUGUUGACUGUAUGAAGAUGGUGAAGGCUUUUCUGUAGUUGCAGAUCUCGCAAAAGGGGAGGAAGGCCUUCACCGCUGAACCCGAGCUUUGCCAUUUCGAAGUGCUGAGUCACCUCGUCCUCUCAGGGUCAGACACUUUCACGCAGGAAACGUCCUGCAGAGCACCGCAGCGGGAGCACCGAGCUGGUGUAUAGGUGUGAACCAAGUGCACGUCUAGUUCCCUUGGAGGCCAGAAAGAAGGCGGUGUCAGAUCCCCAGGAACCAUAGUUACAGAUGGUUGAUGUGGAAACUCAGAGAGGAUGCCACUGUUUUGAACUAUUUUGAAGGCACAGCCACCAGAGCUUUAGGGACAGGGUAUUUUAUCACAGCAACAGAAAUGAAACCAAAACAACUCCACAAUAAAAUUCUUGAGUUUCUUGGGGCCAAGAAGAUGACACGAUAAGAUAAAGACACUGGCCAAGCAUGACCUCCAGAGUUUGGCCCUUGCAUAAAGGAGAAAAUUAAUUCCUUCAGUUGUUCUCUGACCUCCACAUGCGUCCUGUAACAUGGGUGUAUGCAUACACAUAAACACACAUCCACACGUUGUUAAAUAAAUAAAAAAAAUAUGUUAACA
rnacentral:lncRNA from 1 species